rnacentral:rRNA from 1 species
AAUAGAUACCCGGGUAGUCCACGCCGUAAACGAUGAAUGCCAGCCGUUGGAGAGCAUGCUCUUCGGUGGCGCAGCUAACGCAUUAAGCAUUCCGCCUGGGGAGUACGAUCGCAAGAUUAAAACUCAAAGGAAUCGACGGGGGCCCGCACAAGCGGUGGAGCAUGUGGUUCAAUUCGAAGCAACGCGAAGAACCUUACCAGCCCUUGACAUGGCAGGACGGUAUCCAGAGAUGGAUUCCUUCCCUUCGGGGACCUGCACACAGGUGCUGCAUGGCUGUCGUCAGCUCGUGUCGUGAGAUGUUGGGUUAAGUCCCGCAACGAGCGCAACCCUCGCCCUUAGUUGCCGUCAUUCAGUUGGGCACUCUAGGGGGACUGCCGGUGAUGAGCCGAGAGGAAGGUGGGGAUGACGUCAAGUCCUCAUGGCCCUUACGGGCUGGGCUACGACACGUGCUACGAAGUGGCGGUGACAGGAGGGAUGCUACUUCGCAAGGAGAAGCCAAUCCCAAAAGCCGU